rnacentral:rRNA from 1 species
GCCUAAUACAUGCAAGUCGAACGCUUCUUUCCUCCCGAGUGCUUGCACUCAACUGGAAAGAGGAGUGGCGGACGGGUGAGUAACACGUGGGUAACCUACCCAUCAGAGGGGGAUAACACUUGGAAACAGGUGCUAAUACCGCAUAACAGUUUAUGCCGCAUGGCAUAAGAGUGAAAGGCGCUUUCGGGUGUCGCUGAUGGAUGGACCCGCGGUGCAUUAGCCAGUUGGUGAGGUAACGGCUCACCAAGGCCACGAUGCAUAGCCGACCUGAGAGGGUGAUCGGCCACACUGGGACUGAGACACGGCCCAGACUCCUACGGGAGGCAGCAGUAGGGAAUCUUCGGCAAUGGACGAAAGUCUGACCGAGCAACGCCGCGUGAGUGAAGAAGGUUUUCGGAUCGUAAAACUCUGUUGUUAGAGAAGAACAAGGACGUUAGUAACUGAACGUCCCCUGACGGUAUCUAACCAGAAAGCCACGGCUAACUACGUGCCAGCAGCCGCGGUAAUACGUAGGUGGCAAGCGUUGUCCGGAUUUAUUGGGCGUAAAGCGAGCGCAGGCGGUUUCUUAAGUCUGAUGUGAAAGCCCCCGGCUCAACCGGGGAGGGUCAUUGGAAACUGGGAGACUUGAGUGCAGAAGAGGAGAGUGGAAUUCCAUGUGUAGCGGUGAAAUGCGUAGAUAUAUGGAGGAACACCAGUGGCGAAGGCGGCUCUCUGGUCUGUAACUGA